CAGUAGCCGCGGUAAUACAGAGGGUGCAAGCGUUAAUCGGAAUUACUGGGCGUAAAGCGCGCGUAGGUGGUUUGUUAAGUUGGAUGUGAAAUCCCCGGGCUCAACCUGGGAACUGCAUCCAAAACUGGCAGGCUAGAGUAGGGCAGAGGGUGGUGGAAUUUCCUGUGUAGCGGUGAAAUGCGUAGAUAUAGGAAGGAACACCAGUGGCGAAGGCGACCACCUGGGCUCAUACUGACACUGAGGUGCGAAAGCGUGGGAGCAAACAGGAUUAGAGACCCCUGUAGUCCCUGUCUCUUAUACA
rnacentral:rRNA from 1 species